GCUCAAGCAAUCCUCCUGCCUCAGCCUCCUGAGCAGCUAAAGUAAUCAACUCUGAAACUUCUCCAAGGAGUCUUGGCCUAAACUAAACCUGUGCACCAGAGGCUAAAUUCUGUGCAUGCUCAUUUCUGGAACAGAAAUGUUACGUGAGGUCCUCUCUUCCCCUACAGAUAUGAACGAACCCAGAUCUAUGACUACCUCUCCCA